rnacentral:rRNA from 1 species
AAUAUUGGACAAUGGGGGCAACCCUGAUCCAGCCAUGCCGCGUGUGUGAAGAAGGUCUNCGGAUUNUNAGGCACUUUAAGUUGGGNGGAAGGGCUUUAGGUUAAUACCCUGAAGUUUUGACGUUACCAACAGAAGAAGCACCGGCUAACUUCGUGCCAGCAGCCGCGGUAAUACGAAGGGUGCAAGCGCUAAUCGGAAUUACUGGGCGUAAAGCGCGCGUAGGUGGUUCAGUAAGAUGGGUGUGAAAUCCCCGGGCUUAAACUGGGAACUGCUUUCAUAACUGCUGAGCUAGAGUACGGUAGAGGGUAGUGGAAUUUCCUGUGUAGCGGUGAAAUGCGUAGAUAUAGGAAGGAACACCAGUGGCGAAGGCGACUACCUGGACUGAUACUGACACUGAGGUGCGAAAGCGUGGGGAGCAAAC